rnacentral:rRNA from 1 species
UGGGGAAUAUUGGACAAUGGGCGAAAGCCUGAUCCAGCCAUGCCGCGUGUGUGAAGAAGGUCUUCGGAUUGUAAAGCACUUUAAGUUGGGAGGAAGGGCAGUAAGCGAAUACCUUGCUGUUUUGACGUUACCGACAGAAUAAGCACCGGCUAACCCUGUGCCAGCAGCCGCGGUAAUACAGAGGGUGCAAGCGUUAAUCGGAAUUACUGGGCGUAAAGCGCGCGUAGGUGGUUCGUUAAGUUGAAUGUGAAAGCCCCGGGCUCAACCUGGGAACUGCAUCCAAAGCGGGCAAGCUAGGGUGGGGCAGAGAGUGGUGGAAUUUCCUGUGUAGCGGUUAAAUGCGUAGAUAUAGGAAGGAACUCCUGUGGCGAAGGCGACCACCAGUGCUCAUACUGACACUGAGGUGCGAAAGCGUGGGGAGCAAGCAGG